UUAUCUAUAAAUACCCACCUCUUCCCCAUUCAGAUCCUCGUAGUUCUAACUUUUUGGUUUCUUCCGUUUUAGGUUUUUAGGUAUAAGAUCCGUAUUGGGGAAGAUCUUCGUGUUGGGCUUUGUGCCUUGUGGUGCGACUCCGAUCAUCUUCCUUGUGAAAUCCGGGUUCUUUUCUCCUAAUUAUUUUGUCCGUUAACUGAAAGGGAAGGUUUUUUUUUCGUUAUAGAUUUCUUCCAAUACUUCGGUGAUGGUUUUAUGUUUCUUGCGCAUCCGUUCCAAUUCUGCGGAGAAGAGCGACGGUUUCAUAGCCGUUCGGAUUUAUAUUAUGCUUUUGGAUUGUGCUUUUAUUGAGGAUUGGUUUCGAGAUUCUUGAAUUUUUGAAAGGAUGUGGUAUUCUUUGCGUUAGGUUUUUUGUUGCAUCGCCGAUCAUCUUUGAUGUGAAAUCCAGGCUUUUUCUUCUGAUUGCGUUGUCCUUUGGCUGAAAGGGAAGAAUUUUCUUUCCCGUUAAAGAGUUUGUGACUUGGUUAUAGCUGCUGAGGGAAAAUCGUUUUAUGGCAUUCAUUCUUGGUUUAUAUAGAGGGAAAACCAGAAACCAGGUUUUUGGUUUAUUCAUCUUUAUCUUGGUUAGGGAAGUCAAUGAGUUCUGAUUUCUUAUGUGUCCAAUCAAGUUUAGUACUGGUCCAAAGCUUUCACAGUUCUGGACACAUUUCAGCACCAAGUUACCUAUGGGUAUAUAUAUAUAUAUAUAUAUAUAUAUAUAUAUAUAUCCUUCUGAUUAUCGCUUGUGUUUUUCCGAUACGGAAGUCUCGAUCAAGUGCACUCGAAAUACUAAGGAAUCUGACGAGCAAGGUGUUUGAAACUAUGUUCCUGAUAGGUCCAUGAGACAUUGAAUUCGUCAUGGUUAUUCUUGUGAUUUGAGCAACAGAGUUUAUUCUUAUAUUUCUUUUUCCUUCAAAAUGCGUAGGAGCUACAGAAGCAAGGGGAACUAUUAUUUGUUCCUAUCCUCAUAUCACAUUUGCUUGGGCAUUUUAACGUUUGAGAUCAGAGGGCCUUGUUUAUCGUCUGGAUUGCACGAUCCCAUAGAAGCAAGGCACCGGUUAUUUUUUCUGCUCUCACUUGUCGCAUAUAAGUCUAGUCAUAUUUUCCCCCUCGACCGCAAACCUGUUUAGUAUAUGGUGUAUCUCGUAGAAUUUGGAGUCGUGCUACAACUUCUACUGCAGUUGGUUCCAGCUAUGAUUUCUUGUCCUGAUCAAUAUGGUGCCUUCUACAGGAUUAAAACUACACUAUGGUUUGACUUGCUUGGAAACCAUAAGCGCAAAUAAGUUCCUCUUAAGUGCCUGCAGAAACAAGAAAACUGUUAUUUUUCCUUCUCUUUAUUCCACUUUUGCUGAGAUGUCACAAUGAUGUUCCUUAUUUGAUUUAUUUACGGUUGGUGCUUCACAACUUUUUCCCUUCGAGCAAUGUUUGUUCGGCCAGAUCAAUUUGGUUUUCUUUAUACAGGAAUACAAAUACAUAUCUGUCCUUAACUUUC